rnacentral:rRNA from 1 species
UCUCUCUGAAUCUGCGAACGGCUCCGCAAACCAGUUGUAAACUAUAGCAAGCAAUCCUGUGGUUGGGUUUCGGCCUGGUCAUGGGUAAAAUGGAUAACCAUGGUAAUUCUGAGGCUAAUACAAGAACGUACUCCCUGGCUGACCGGCAACGGAAGGCUGGGGAGCGUGCAACGUAUCGUAAGACAAACCGGGAAUGGGUGCACGCUUGGACCGCGCAAAAAACAGAUCUUGGCGAGCCUUCGGGUGAGCCUUGGCCUGAGCGGCUCUUGCUGUGUGCUUCUGACCUAUCAACUAGAUGGCAGCGUAACGGACAUGCUAUGGUUACAACGGGUACAGAGGAUUAGGGUUCGAUCCUGGAGAGUGGGCCUGAGAGAUU